AUUUUACUGUAACUUCAGUUAACUACAAGUUUUUUGGAAUUAGUCUCAUGUUUAUAUGCAUUCCGUGAUACAUUAAACUUUGGUUAGAUUUUUACUGUAAAUCUAAUUUACCAAAGAUAAUUAGAUCUAGCAUUGUCCUGAAACUUUAAAAAAAAUUUUGAUUUAGAGCUAAUAUGUUUGUAGUUAUUGAGUUUUUAAAAUGGAGGAAUAUGCAUUUUUAAAUGAUUGUUUUCCUGUGCUUGCUUGAUGGCAGUGCUAUAAAUUUUUGAUGGAAAUGUAAUAAAUUAUUUCAAAUGUUUACUCUAAU